CGAACGCUGGCGGCGCGCCUAAUACAUGCAAGUCGAGCGAGAAGACGUAGCAAUACGUUUGUAAAGCGGCGAACGGGUGAGGAAUACAUGGGUAACCUACCCUCGAGUGGGGAAUAACUAGCCGAAAGGUUAGCUAAUACCGCAUACGACUCUCGGUCUGCGGAUCGAGAGGGAAAGCGAUACCGUGGGUAUCGCGCUCAUGGAUGGGCUCAUGUCCUAUCAGCUUGUUGGUGAGGUAACGGCUCACCAAGGCUUCGACGGGUAGCUGGUCUGAGAGGACGAUCAGCCACACUGGCACUGCGACACGGGCCAGACUCCUACGGGAGGCAGCAGUAAGGAAUAUUGCGCAAUGGGCGACAGCCUGACGCAGCGACGCCGCGUGGGGGAUGAAGGUCUUCGGAUUGUAAACCCCUUUCGGCAGGGAAGAUGGAACGGGUAACCGUUCGGACGGUACCUGCAGAAGCAGCCACGGCUAACUUCGU
rnacentral:rRNA from 1 species